rnacentral:rRNA from 1 species
AGCAGCAGCCGCGGUAAUACGUAGGGUGCGAGCGUUAAUCGGAAUUACUGGGCGUAAAGCGUGCGCAGGCGGUUUGUUAAGACAGAUGUGAAAUCCCCGGGCUUAACCUGGGAACUGCAUUUGUGACUGGCCGGCUAGAGUAUGGCAGAGGGAGGUGGAAUUCCACGUGUAGCAGUGAAAUGCGUAGAUAUGUGGAGGAACACCGAUGGCGAAGGCAGCCUCCUGGGCCAAUACUGACGCUCAUGCACGAGAGCGUGGGGAGCAAACAGGAUUAGAUACCCGAGUAGUCCCUGUCUCUUAUAC